AAUAAGUGCAGUUUUGCACUGUUCAUUUCCAACGUUCGAUUGUUCGUCUUAUUUGAAAUUUUAUUAUGAUCAGUAUUUUUAUUUUUAUUAGAUGAUAAAACAUGAGUUGUACUUUAUGCGAUUAGUUUAUUUAUUUUUUCAUAAAUUUUUUAAAUAAGAUGGAUGAUCAAACUUUGGAUACGGAUACCCACCAUUGCACUUAUU
rfam:Oryza punctata chromosome 1, whole genome shotgun sequence.